rnacentral:rRNA from 1 species
UACGGAGGGGGCGAGCGUUAUUCGGAAUUAUUGGGCGUAAAGGGCACGUAGGCGGCUUGACAAGUCAAAGGUGAAAUCCCUCGGCUCAACUGAGGAACUGCCUUUGAAACUGUCUGGCUUGAGGCCGGGAGGGGGUAGCGGAAUUCCCAGUGUAGCGGUGAAAUGCGUAGAUACUGGGAGGAACACCAGUGGCGAAGGCGGCUACCUGGACCGGUUCUGACGCUGAGGCGCGAAAGCGUGGGUAGCAAACAGG